rnacentral:rRNA from 1 species
GACGUAGGGUGCGAGCGUUGUCCGGAUUUAUUGGGCGUAAAGAGCUCGUAGGCGGCUCGUCGCGUCGACCGUGAAAACCCGCGGCUUAACUGCGGGCUUGCGGUUGAUACGGGCGGGCUAGAGUUCGGUAGGGGAGACUGGAAUUCCUGGUGUAGCGGUGAAAUGCGCAGAUAUCAGGAGGAACACCAGUGGCGAAGGCGACUACCUGGCCUGUUCUUGACGCUGAGGCGCGAAAGCUAGGGGAGCAAACGGG